AUGGCGAAAGUCUUCACAGGGGAGGAAGAAAAUGCAGCAAGGUAUAAGAAUAAAGAGGAGAUGUAGAUGGGCUGGCUAGUAUUCGUGGGAUCAGAGAAGACACAAGAGUGUGGGUUUGUUGUGUUGGUGGGUGUUCUUGAAGGGUACACAAUCUGAGAGAUGCGAGCUGCUUGCUAGCAUAAAGUCAAAUGUGUUACUGGGAGUUUAUGGUAUAUAUCGAGCUGCUCCUAGAAUGAUAAUGGAGGUCCGUGCAUGCAGGAGGAGUCAAGCUAGAAUGUCAAUGGAGGUCCGUGCAGGCAAUCUUUCAAUAUUAAAAAAAUGCAAUAAAUCGGGAACGAUAUGAAGAUAAGAUUUGGCCAAUGGAGGUCGAUUGGUCUGCGCACCAAUGAUUCUUAUAUCUGAAAACGGGCAUGGAGACAGCUACUGCGGUAACUUCCAACCCUCUGCAGUCUCGUAUAUGUAUUUAUUUGCAUAUAUUUUCAUAUUUUUUAUUUAUUUUAAUGAA